rnacentral:rRNA from 1 species
AGUAAAUGGCUGCAUAAACCUGAGUGUACUAAGGUAGCGCUAUAAUUUGCCCUUUAAAUGGGGGCUGGUAUGAACGGGUUCACGUGAGAGUUGCUGUGUCACAAAAAUUGAAAUUAACUUUUAGGUGAAGAGGCCUAAUUAAAAUUAAAGGACGACAAGACCCUAGAAGCUUUACUUAAUUUGUUUUAGUUUUGUUGGGGCAACAUAGUUAGAAAAUAUAGCACUCACAAGUCAAAACCACAUUGGUGAAUAAGAGCUACUCUAGGGAUAACAGCGUUAUUUUUUUUAAUAGUACGUAUUGUAAAAAAAGUUUGCGACCUCGAUGUUGGACUAAGGUGUCCUUAAGGCGCAGAAGCCUUAAAGGGUUGGCCUGUUCGUCCAUUAAAACCUUACA